rnacentral:lncRNA from 1 species
AGAGCUACUGCCUGGUGGCCCUCGGGUCCCGCGGUGUUCUCCACUGUUAAGUCACGGGCCAGGAAGCCUUUGCCGUUCACAGCUGAGAGCCACAGGACAACAACACGCAAAGGUAUGUGUCAGUUCUUCUUCUUCGUUUCUUUCUCUUUUCUUUCGUGCUCGAACAAGCAAAACCAUGACUUCUAACUUAUGAUCAUUCAGGUAGUACCGACCGAGUGUUGCCGACGCGAACGUCGUGGUGCCGCCUUUGGACACGCUCAUACUCCCCCGGAUGAUGGUCUUGUCCAUCCCGUCGCCCACGAACAUGAGCAUCGACUUUU